GCCUUGCCAGCCCGCUCAGAACUUAAAGGAAGUUGACGGGGGCCCGCACAAGCGGUGGAGCAUGUGGUUUAAUUCGAUGAUACGCGAGGAACCUUACCUGGGCUCAAAUGUAUGUUGACGUAUUCUGAAAGGGAUACUUCUUCGGACAAUAUACAAGGUGCUGCAUGGUUGUCGUCAGCUCGUGCCGUGAGGUGUCGGGUUAAGUCCCAUAACGAGCGCAACCCCUAUCAUUAGUUGCCAUCAGGUCAAGCUGGGGACUCUAAUGAAACUGCCUACGCAAGUAGUGAGGAAGGUGGGGAUGACGUCAAAUCAGCACGGCCCUUACGUCCAGGGCUACACACGUGCUACAAUGGUCGGUACAAAGGGUUGCCAAGCCGCGAGGUGGAGCUAAUCCCAUAAAACCGAUCGUAGUCCGGAUCGCAGUCUGCAACUCGACUGCGUGAAGUCGGAAUCGCUAGUAAUCGUGAAUCAGAAUGUCACGGUGAAUACGUUCCCGGGCCUU
rnacentral:rRNA from 1 species